rnacentral:tRNA from 1 species
AGUAAAAUGCCUGAAAAAAGGGUUAUCAUGAUAGGAUAAAUAAUGUAAUUUUAAAUUACUUUUGCUA